rnacentral:miRNA from 1 species
UCUUCCUCUUCCUCCAUAACU